UAGGGAAUAUUGGACAAUGGGGGGAACCCUGAUCCAGCCAUGCCGCGUGGAGGAAGACUGCCCUCUGGGUUGUAAACUCCUUUUAUAUGGGAAGAACCGUCCUCAUUGAUGAGUGACCUGACGGUACCAUAGGAAUAAGCACCGGCUAACUCCGUGCCAGCAGCCGCGGUAAUACGGAGGGUGCAAGCGUUGUCCGGAUUUACUGGGCGUAAAGGGAGCGUAGGCGGACUUUUAAGUGAGAUGUGAAAUACCCGGGCUCAACCUGGGUGCUGCAUUUCAAACUGGAAGUCUAGAGUGCAGGAGAGGAGAGUGGAAUUCCUAGUGUAGCGGUGAAAUGCGUAGAGAUUAGGAAGAACACCAGUGGCGAAGGCGACUCUCUGGACUGUAACUGACGCUGAGGCUCGAAAGCGUGGGGAGCAAACA
rnacentral:rRNA from 1 species